AUUGAACGCUGGCGGCAUGCUUUACACAUGCAAGUCGAACGGUAACAGGCCGCAAGGUGCUGACGAGUGGCGAACGGGUGAGUAAUGCAUCGGAACGUGCCCAGUCGUGGGGGAUAACGCAGCGAAAGCUGUGCUAAUACCGCAUACGAUCUAUGGAUGAAAGCGGGGGACCGUAAGGCCUCGCGCGAUUGGAGCGGCCGAUGUCAGAUUAGGUAGUUGGUGGGGUAAAGGCUCACCAAGCCAACGAUCUGUAGCUGGUCUGAGAGGACGACCAGCCACACUGGGACUGAGACACGGCCCAGACUCCUACGGGAGGCAGCAGUGGGGAAUUUUGGACAAUGGGCGCAAGCCUGAUCCAGCAAUGCCGCGUGCAGGAAGAAGGCCUUCGGGUUGUAAACUGCUUUUGUACGGAACGAAAAGGUCUGGGUUAAUACCCUGGGCUGAUGACGGUACCGUAAGAAUAAGCACCGGCUAACUACGUGCCAGCCGCCGCCGUAACAC
rnacentral:rRNA from 1 species